AUUGAACGCUGGCGGCAGGCCUAACACAUGCAAGUCGAGCGGAUGAAGGGAGCUUGCUCCUGGAUUCAGCGGCGGACGGGUGAGUAAUGCCUAGGAAUCUGCCUGGUAGUGGGGGGUAACGUCCGGAAACGGGCGCUAAUACCGCAUACGUCCUGAGGGAGAAAGUGGGGGAUCUUCGGACCUCACGCUAUCAGAUGAGCCUAGGUCGGAUUAGCUAGUUGGUGGGGUAAAGGCCUACCAAGGCGACGAUCCGUAACUGGUCUGAGAGGAUGAUCAGUCACACUGGAACUGAGACACGGUCCAGACUCCUACGGGAGGCAGCAGUGGGGAAUAUUGGACAAUGGGCGAAAGCCUGAUCCAGCCAUGCCGCGUGUGUGAAGAAGGUCUUCGGAUUUUAAAGCACUUUAAGUUGGGAGGAAGGGCAGUAAGUUAAUACCUUGCUGUUUUGACGUUACCAACAGAAUAAGCACCGGCUAACUUCGUG
rnacentral:rRNA from 1 species